UUGGCUUGUUUCUACACCAGAGAUUAUUUCACCCCUAUUUACCUAGUUGAUGUUUUUAAGACAUUUUUAUCAGACCAACCGAUAGUAAUAUGUAGUUUUUAGAAUCAUGCUUUGAAAUUUUUGUUUGUUUGUUUUGUUGUUUAUUGAGACGUAUAGUGCCUAAUGCUGGCCUAGAACUUACUCUGUAGCUUAGGUCAGCCUUAAACUCACGGCAAUUCUCUACCUUGUCCUUCCCAUGCUGGGGUAACAGGCUUGUACCACCAUGCCCAACCAGUAAUUUCAAACUUGCAAGAAAGCUGUAAAAUUAAUACUGAUGUCUCCCAUAUGCCCUUUUGCUAGUUGAUUUUAUUGUCUUCUUUCUCACUAUACAGUUAUUUUUUCUAAAUUAUUUGAGAAAUUAAUCAUAUGCACCUUGACACUUCAGUGUGUGUUUCCUAAGAACAAAGAUAUUUCCCUUAAUCUAAGUAAAAUGAUCAAGUUUAAGAAGUUUAAUGAUUCAGUAAUUUACCAUUAAUGUUUGUCUAAGUUAAGGUUUCUAUUGCUGUGAUAAAGCCCCAUGACCAAAAGCAAAUUAGGGAGGAAAGGGGUUAUUUCAUCUUGCAACUCUGAGGUCACAUUCAUCAUUGCAAGAAUGAUGAAUUAUUAUUAUUUUUUUAAGAUUUAUUUAUUUAUUAUAUGUAAGUACACUGUAGCUGUCUUCAGACACUCCAGAAGAGGGAGUCAGAUCAUGUUACAGAUGGUUGUGAGCCACCAUGUGGUUGCUGGGAUUUGAACUUCGGACCUUCGGAAGAGCAGUCGGGUGCUCUUACCCACUGAGCCAUCUCACCAGCCCAGAAUGAUGAAUUAUUAAUUCCUGCCUUAUUCAAGGCAGGAACCUGGAGGCAGGAGCUGAAGCAGAGGACAUGAAAGAAUGUUUCCUAUUGGCUUGCUCCUGGUGGCUUGCUCAGGGCCACACGCCUAGGGGUAGCAUUGCCCACAGUGGACUGGGCCUUCCCAUAUCAAUCUUAAUAAAGAAAAUGCCACACAGAUUUGCUCCCAGGAAAUUCUAUGGAGGCAUUUUCUCUUAAUUGAUUUUUUCUACCCAGUUGACAGAAAGCAACCAGGACAGUUGACACUUGUCAGUUUGACCCACAAACACAUUACUGUUAACUUCUCCUUCCUUCCUUGUCCCUAAGAUGCCAUAUUUAUAUUAAUAUCACAAUAUAAAACAUUCCAACUGUGUGGGUGAUCAGAGGGAGGGGGAAGGGGAUAGGAGUUUUCGGAGGGGAAACCAGAAAAGGGGAUAACAUUUGAAAUGUAAAUAAAGAAAAUAUCUAAUAAAAAUAAAUUCUAGCUUUUAAAGUCCCACAGUCUUUAAAAAUUCACUUUAAAAUUUCAGUGUCUCUAAAAUAUCCAAAAAUAUCUGGUAGUAGUGGAGCACACCUUAAUCCCAGCACUUGAGGGGGAGAGGCAGGCAGAUCUCUGAAUUUGAAGUCAGUCUGGUCUACAGAGUGAAUUCAGGACAGCCAGAACUAUAUAGAGAAACCAUGUCCAAUAAUAAUGGUGAUGAUAAAUAAAAUAUCCAACAUUUCCCUAAAACGCCACAGUUUUCAGAGAGACUCUGAAAGUUCACAGUUUCUCAACUGUGGGCUCCUGUAAAAUAAAAAAUAAGUUACAUGUUUUCUUAUUCCAAGACUUAAGAACCAGGAUACAGCUACAUUGAAAUCAGAGCAAAACUUCAAAUUCAAGUGUGCAAAGUUCAGUGCUUGAUGUCUGGGACCCAGUCAAGGUCCUCUGGGCUCCACAGAAUCUUGCCUAAGUCUGCUUCUCUAGCUCUGUCAUCCACAGCACAUACAGCUUGUCUCCUAGGCGAAGGUUGGUUCUACGCCACAAUUGCUGCUGUCCUUGGUGUUCCUUCUGUGGUAUUGGCAUCUUCAAAAUGAUGCAACUCUGCUGAGCCUUCACUAAAAGCUUCUUCUGAGCUCUCUUCAGGGACUUUGACCCUGCCACUGGCUGCCAAGCCUUACCUUCUCUCCAUGACCACUUCAUCGCUGCUGCUUUCACUGCAGCUGAGCCUGCACAUUCACAGUGUUAAGUCUCAGCUAUUCUCUUCAAUCUUCAAAAGCAGUACCACCUGGGAAACUCUUACCAAGGUCAGCUUCCAGCUGUCCACUGACCCUGAAGAGACACUUUCCAGAAGAGUUUGCAUCAAUAAUACUGGUCUCUUCUUAAUCACAGCUGAUUCUUCAGCCCCAGGUGACCAUUAUCAAUUGUCCCAGCAAAGCAAAGAUUUCACUCUAGUUGUUUUGGCCUCUUGUUAGUCACAGCCUCAGAUAACCAGAAUAACAGAUUCUUAAUUCAAAAUAUCAGUUUCUCAAAUAGUCUUUAAGGACCUGUGAAAAUUUCCAUUAAAAUUUCACAAGCCAGGCUCCGUUGUCUGCAGGCUUUGUUUCUACCAUCAUCUCAUUAAGCUCCAAACACGCAUUCAGUGGCUUUUCUAGCCCAAAGUUCUAAACUCCUCCAUAAUCACCCCAAAACAACAAGUUUAGUUCUGUCACGCAGUGCCUCUCCUGGUUCUGGUUUAUGUGUUAGUUACAUGUCUAUGGCUGUGAUAAACCGCUGCAACCAAAGCAAUGUGGGGAGAAGAGGGUUGUCUUUCCUUGCAGCUCUCAGUCCAUCAUUGAGGGAAGUGAGGGCAGGAACUUAGGGCAGGAACCAAACAGAAGCUAUGGAGGAAGACUUCUUCCUGGUCUGCUCAGCCAGAGCAGGUGCUGCGUAUACUUUCCAGGAUCCCAGGGGUGGCAUUUUAAACAGUGGGCAGGCUGGCCUCAAACUAAUAGAGAUUCUCUUGCUCUGUUUCCCAAGUGUUUGGGAUUACAUACGUGUGCCUCUACACUGGCUAUGACAUUGAUAAUUUCUAUAAUCACAGAUAAGGUUCAUAGAUCUAUUGUCCAUCUAUUUGUUCUUCCCUCUCACUUUCUCUCAUUUUUUAAUGUUUAUUCAUAAUUAGAUUCGGGUUAUGUUAUUUGGCAUGAAUCUACAGAUCACUGCUAAUACAGUAAUGCUUUUAUGUUGUCAUAGCCAUAGUUGUCAUUUAUAAGUGAUACUAGUUUUAAUCAUCUAAGUAUUGCAUGGAUUCUUUAUUAUAUGGGUACUACUUGCUACUUAGAACCAAUAAGCCAUUUAUAGGAGUGAAUUUUGAGUAGUCUUUUUUUUUUUUUUUUUUUUUUUUGGUGGGCAGGGGAGAGGAUCUAAUAUAGUCAAGACUAGCUUCAAACUUACUUCAUAGUUGAGGAUGACCUUAUAUUUCUGAUCCUCCUGUUUCUGAGUGUCGGGAUUACAGGCAUGUACCACAAAACCUGUUUUAUGUAUUGCUGGGGAUUGAACCCAGGACUUUUUGCAUGAUAAGCAAGCACUUUGCCAUUUGAACUAAAUCCUUAGCCCCUUUGUUUUUUUUUUUUUUUUUUGUUUGCUCUUUGGGGAGAUUUACUAUGCUGUUCAGGUUGGUUUUGAACUCAUGAUCCUCCUGCCUUAGACUUCCAAGUACUGGGAUUAUCACAGUGCACCAACAUACCCAGCUGUAAUGCUGUUCUUUUUUGAGGAAAAUAAGUUACUGACUGAGCAGCAAGGUUUUAUAACACUGUUGUUCUUAAAACACUGGGCAGAACCUUACAAAAUGUUUUGUUGUUGUUGUUUGUUUGUUUUUAAACAAAUGAUAAGACAACAUUAGAAGCAGCCAGAGUAAAGGUAGAUGAAGAAUUUAAAUCAUAAAAGUAAGACUUCACUAGAGAAAAUAGAAGAGCUGAUGAAAAUAAGCUCCAGUGUCAAACUAUUGCUCAGAACAUCUGUUAAAGAAGUGUUCACACUGCCCACACGGCACCGGAGCUGGUCUCCAGGAGAGAGUCUUAUAGAAUGUGCCGUACUGUGAUGUGUCAAUCAGAAGCACUGAAGCUUCCUGAGUGAAGCCUGGCUUUGCACCUUUUGCCUUUAGAUAUAUAACUCGCAAAGGUCUUAGAAAUGCCGAUGUUUUUCUGUGAACUGAUAUGUUGAAAAUGAGCCACGGGCUAAGAGCUGCACAGCACCACACAGUAUUAUGCUGACUGUUCUCACCGACAACCUCUAGAUCAUGACUGAGUAAUUGGGAAGAUGGGACAUUCUCCCCUCUUUUCCUUUGAUAGGUAGAACAAAAGCUAUUUGCCAAUGAAGCACUUCACCAAAUUGGUGACUUUUCAGUAAUCCACUGCUAAGUAUACAGUGCUACAUCGACUUGCUGUUUAGUCUCCAAAAUAUUAAAAAAUUUAGUGUGUAAUCCUAGCAGUGGGAAGUGGGUUGGAUAAGGCUGCCCCCAGCUAUAUAAUAUGUUUGAGGCUAGCCUAGCUAUUUGAGACUUUGUCACAG
rnacentral:lncRNA from 1 species